AUAGUUUGGAGGGAUUAUCUUAUUCCAAGGAUAAGGUGGCAGGGGAGAGUUUCGUUGGUUCUGAAAUAUGUGGUUAUACUCCAACCCCUCCCUCUCCAAGCUACCAUACAGCAUUUAGGACAAUUGCUAAAGAAGAUGAGUCAUUAAAAAGACCCUCAAGUCCUACACCAGAAAACCAGGUUGACAGCAGUAGUACAUUUACGCCAGUUGUCAGUUAUUCGGCGGCAUUAGAUUCGAACUGGCCAACAGUAAAAUCAAGUUCUGAUGCAGGCAGAUUCAGUCACGUGAAAGACUCCAUUCUGAAUAAUCUGAGGUGAUGAAUAUUGCAAAACUUUUUAUGUAAU